AUUGAACGCUGGCGGCAUGCUUUACACAUGCAAGUCGAGCGGCAGCGCGGGGGCAACCCUGGCGGCGAGCGGCGAACGGGUGAGUAAUGCAUCGGAACGUGUCCCGUAGUGGGGGAUAACCCAGCGAAAGCCGGGCUAAUACCGCAUAUUUCUCUACGGAGGAAAGCGGGGGAUCCGCAAGGACCUCGCGCUAUGGGAGC
rnacentral:rRNA from 1 species